rnacentral:rRNA from 1 species
GACGAACGCUGGCGGCGUGCCUAAUACAUGCAAGUCGAGCGGACAGAUGGGAGCUUGCUCCCUGAAGUCAGCGGCGGACGGGUGAGUAACACGUGGGCAACCUGCCUGUAAGACUGGGAUAACUUCGGGAAACCGGAGCUAAUACCGGAUACGUUCUUUUCUCGCAUGAGAGAAGAUGGAAAGAUGGUUUCGGCUAUCACUUACAGAUGGGCCCGCGGCGCAUUAGCUAGUUGGUGAGGUAAUGGCUCACCAAGGCGACGAUGCGUAGCCGACCUGAGAGGGUGAGCGGCCACACUGGGACUGAGACACGGCCCAGACUCCUACGGGAGGCAGCAGUAGGGAAUCUUCCGCAAUGGACGAAAGUCUGACGGAGCAGCGCCGCGUGAACGAUGAAGGCCUUCGGGUCGUAAAGUUCUGUUGUUAAGGAAGAACAAGUACCAGAGUAACUGCUGGUACCUUGACGGUACCUAACCAGAAAGCCACGGCUAACUACGUGCCAGCAGCCGCCGUAACAC